ACGAACGCUGGCGGCGUGCUUAACACCUGCAAGUCGAACGGAAAGGCCCUGCUUUUGUGGGGUGCUCGAGUGGCGAACGGGUGAGUAACACGUGAGUAACCUGCCCUUGACUUUGGGAUAACUUCAGGAAACUGGGGCUAAUACCGGAUAGGAGCUCCUGCUGCAUGGUGGGGGUUGGAAAGUUUCGGCGGUUGGGGAUGGACUCGCGGCUUAUCAGCUUGUUGGUGGGGUAGUGGCUUACCAAGGCUUUGACGGGUAGCCGGCCUGAGAGGGUGACCGGCCACAUUGGGACUGAGAUACGGCCCAGACUCCUACGGGAGGCAGCAGUGGGGAAUAUUGCACAAUGGGCGGAAGCCUGAUGCAGCAACGCCGCGUGCGGGUUGACGGCCUUCGGGUUGUAAACCGCUUUCGCCUGUGACGAAGCGUGAGUGACGGUAAUGGGUAAAGAAGCACCGGCUAACUACGUG
rnacentral:rRNA from 1 species